rnacentral:ncRNA from 1 species
AUGUUAGAGGUGCGUAUUUAAAUAGUAGCUUUGCCGAGGGUGCACAGCCUGAUGAAGCUCCGCAAAAGGUAACUACGCCGAAAGAACCGCGUUGUGCGGCGCGGCCCUUGGUUGUGCAGCGAAUAGCUGCCCGACUGUCAUCCUUGCCGAUGGAGCGCUAA